GUAUCUAUAUGUACAACUGGUGUUACAAUACGAUCUGUGUAUAAAUAUGAAGUAUAGUUAAAGGAAUGCACAUUCAGAUCAUUAAAGAUGGAUGUUGUGCAUUUCUUCGGGACGGCCAUGGAAAGCAGCCUUGUGUUAAUCGGAAAUCAGACUCAACAAUAUGACGUUGCUCGUGGAUGCCUUUUUUACGAAGGAAGAAGACGGUGGCCAGAUCGAAAUAGAUGGCCGACCCACAAUCCAUGCAGUCGCACUGGGAGGGGAAAUCACGGACAGUCCUGUUGAUAAAUAUAAAUCGAAAGGAUAAAAAUUUCUUCAUUGGAGAAGUGGAUAUCACGGAAUUCCGCAACCCGGUGAAGAAGCAUGAAAAUUGCCACGGUAGCGGAGUGUUUGAAACGUAAAACAACCGUCACGACGUAAGUAUAGUACGAAUUAUCGCUAAAGCGGGAAGGUAGUAACUGUACAUCGCACAUCAAUUCGCGUGACUUUAUCGCUAACAUUUGUCUUCGUGUUACUAUUGUGGGACCAAACUACUGCCCGCGCGGUGCGAGCGGAUGGAAAAUAACAGAUGAAAAUACGUUUGGUCUUGGACGGGAGAUGGGUAAAUUAAAUUCGCGCGAGAUCGAUGCCCCCCUUUUGAUAUUUCGCGCUUGACAGCGUGUAAUGGACUAAGAAUAACUAAAAGUAACGAAGGUACGUUUUAUUGAAACGCCGCGGCGGCGCGACCCGUGUCGUCGAGUUCCGCGAACGACGAUAAUCUCGGGAUACGUUGUUCCUCGGUCCAUUGAUCGCGUGAAAUUUAUCAUCGUGACAAGAGGCCACGGCAACUAAAUACCAUAAUUACGUUCGCAAUGACUCGCCGCUGUACGCCGACUCAAUUUUCGCGUGCUCCAACUGAUCUCUAAAUCAUAAUGAUUUCAAUGCCAGACGCAAAGUCUGCGCGCGCUACGCGAGACAUGUACAAAACGUACACCAAGAGGGC